rnacentral:misc_RNA from 1 species
GAUGAAGAACGUAGCGAAAUGCGAUACGUAGUGUGAAUUGCAGAAUUCAGUGAAUCAUCGAAUCUUUGAACGCACAUUGCACCUCUCGGUAUUCCGGGAGGUAUGCCUGUUCGAGCGUCAUUUGUACCCUCAAGCUCUGCUUGGUGUUGGGUGUUUGUUCCGCCUCUGUGUGUGAACUCGCCUCAAAACAAUUGGCAGCCGGCGUACUUGUUUCGGAGCGCAGCACAUUUUGCGAUCCAGAUCAACGUACAGCGGAAUCCAAGAAGCCUUAUUUAACGCUCUUGACCUCGGAUCAGGUAGGGAUACCCGCUGAACUUAAGCAUAUCAAUAAGCGGAGGA